rnacentral:rRNA from 1 species
UGAGUAACACGCUGGGUGAUCUGCCNUGNACUUUGGGAUANGCACNGGACGNNNCUAGGGUCUAAUACCGAAUAGGACCGCGCUCUUCAUGGGGUGUGGUGGAAAGCUUUUGCGGUGUGGGAUGGGCCCGCGGCCUAUCAGCUUGUUGGUGGGGUAAUGGCCUACCAAGGCGACGACGGGUAGCCGGCCUGAGAGGGUGACCGGCCACACUGGGACUGAGAUACGGCCCAGACUCCUACGGGAGGCAGCAGUGGGGAAUAUUGCACAAUGGGCGCAAGCCUGAUGCAGCGACGCCGCGUGAGGGAUGACGGCCUUCGGGUUGUAAACCUCUUUCAAUAGGGACGAAGCGCAAGUGACGGUACCUAUAGAAGAAGGACCGGCCAACUACGUGCCAGCAGCCGCGGUAAUACGUAGGGUCCGAGCGUUGUCCGGAAUUACUGGGCGUAAAGAGCUCGUAGGUGGUUUGUCGCGUUGUUCGUGAAAACUCACAGCUUAACUGUGGGCGUGCGGGCGAUACGGGCAGACUAGAGUACUGCAGGGGAGACUGGAAUUCCUGGUGUAGCGGUGGAAUGCGCAGAUAUCAGGAGGAACACCGGUGGCGAAGGCGGGUCUCUGGGCAGUAACUGACGCUGAGGAGCGAAAGCGUGGGGAGCGAACAGGAUUAGAUACCCUGGUAGUCCACGCCGUAAACGGUGGGUACUAGGUGUGGGUUUCCUUCCUUGGGAUCCGUGCCGUAGCUAACGCAUUAAGUACCCCGCCUGGGGGAGUACGGCCGCAAGGCUA